rnacentral:rRNA from 1 species
CCAGAAAGACUAUCUGGUUGAUAGGUCGAAGGUGUAAGUGCAGUAAUGUAUUUAGCUUAUCGAUACUAAUAGGUCGAGGACUUGACCAA